GUACCUGCUUCGGCAGUACAGAUACUAAAAUUGGACCGAUACAGAGAAGACUAUCAUGGCUCCUGCGCAACGAUGACACGCAUAUAUUGACAUAAACAUAAUGUGA